rnacentral:rRNA from 1 species
CAGCAACUUGGAAGAAUGCUUCUUAUUAUAAUAGAAAGAUAAGUUAAGAAUUCAUUAAACUUGAAUAUAAUUCUAGAUAAGCUUUUGAUAAUGACAAAUUUUUAUCUAUUUGUCUUGACCAAAUCUUGUGCCAGCAGUCGCGGCAACACAAGGAAGACUAGUGUUAUUCAUCUUAAAUAGGUUUAAAGGGUACCUAGACGGUAAAUUAGGCCAUAGUUGGAACCUUUUUACUAGAGUUAUACAUGCAGGGGGAUUGUGUCCGUAUUAUCAGAGUAGAGAUGAAAUUUUAUGAUACUGUUAAGACUGGUAAAGGCGAAAGCAAACCUUUAUAUAUUAACUGACGUUGAGGGACGAAGGCUUGGGGCGCGAACAGGAUUAGAUACCCUAAUAGUCCAGGCAGAGAAUUCUGAAUGCCAUAGAUUAUAAU